rnacentral:rRNA from 1 species
UUCGCCCUUCGGGGCGCACCAGGCGCGAAAACUUUACAAUGCUGGAAACAGCGAUAAGGGGACCUCGAGUGCCAGGUUACAAAUCUGGCUGUCGUGAUGCCUAAAAAGCAUUGCAUAGCAAGGGCCGGGCAAGACCGGUGCCAGCCGCCGCGGUAACACCGGCGGCUCGAGUGGUAACCGUUAUUAUUGGGUCUAAAGGGUCUGUAGCCGGCCGGAUAAGUCUCUUGGGAAAUCCAGCAGCUUAACCGUUGGUCGUCCGGGGGGUACUACAUUGCUUGGGACUGGGAGAGGUAGGAGGUACUCAGGGGGUAGGAGUGAAAUCCUGUAAUCCUCUGGGGACCACCGGUGGCGAAGGCGUCCUACCAGAACAGGUCCGACGGUGAGGGACGAAAGCUAGGGGCACGAACCGGAUUAGAUACCCGGGUAGUCCUAGCCGUAAACGAUGCUCGCUAGGUGUCACAACAGUCGUGAACUGUUGUGGUGCCGUAGGGAAGCCGUGAAGCGAGCCACUUGGGAAGUACGACCGCAAGGUUGAAACUUAAAGGAAUUGGCGGGGGAGCAC